AGAGUUUGAUCCUGGCUCAGGACGAACGCUGGCGGCGUGCCUAAUGAAUGCGAGUCGAACGGAACAUAGAGAUCGUGAUUGCUUUCGGGCGGUCACCCUUUAUGUUUAGUGGCAAACGGGUGAGUAACACGUGGAUAACGUGCCUUCAAGCCGAGGAUAACAGGGCGAAAGUCCUGCUAAUACUCGAUGGUCUGCCCCUGCUUUGGCGGGGACCAGUAAAGCUCCGGCGCUUGGAGAUCGGUCCGCGGUCCAUUAGCUUGUUGGUGGGGUAAUGGCCCACCAAGGCGACAAUGGGUAGCUGGUCUGAGAGGACGAUCAGCCACACUGGGACUGAGACAUGGUCCAGACUCCUACGGGAGUUAGCAUCCGGGAAUCUUGCACAAUGGGCGCAAGCCUGAUGCAGCGACGCCGCGUGGGUGAUGAAGGUCUGCGGAUCGUAAAGCCCUGUCAGGAGGGACGACACCCGACUGUACCUCCAAAGGAAGCCCCGGCUAACUACGUGCCAGCAGCCGCGGUAAAACGUAGGGGGCUAGCGUUGUCCGGAAUUACUGGGCGUAAAGGGCACGCAGGCGGUCUGUAAAGCGGUGGGUGCAAUCUCGAGGCUCAACCUCGAAACUGCUUGCCGAACUGGCAGACUAGAGCACGGGAGAGGACAGUGGAAUUCCCGGUGUAGCGGUGGAAUGCGUAAAUAUCGGGAGGAACACCAGUGGCGAAAGGCUGCUGUCUGGAACGUUGCUGACGCUGAGGUGCGAAAGCUAGGGGAGCGAACGGGAUUAAAUACCCCGGUAGUCCUAGCCGUAAACGAUGCUCACUAGGUGUUGCCGGCAUUAACCCCGGCAGUGCUGUUCUGCUAACGCGCUAAGUGAGCCGCCUGGGGAGUACGGCCGCAAGGCUGAAACUCAAAGGAAUUGACGG
rnacentral:rRNA from 1 species